rnacentral:rRNA from 1 species
AACGAACGCUGGCGGCGCGCCUAACACAUGCAAGUCGAACGAGAAGCUGUAGCAAUACAGUUGUACAGUGGCGAACGGGUGAGGAAUACAUGGGUGACCUACCCUCGAGUGGGGAAUAACCAGCCGAAAGGUUGGCUAAUACCGCGUACGUUUCCCAGUCCGCGGAUUGGGAAGGAAAGCGAUGCCGUGGGUAUCGCGCUCAAGGUUGGGCUCAUGUCCUAUCAGCUUGUUGGGAGGUAACGGCUCACCAAGGCAACGACGGGUAGCUGGUCUGAGAGGACGAUCAGCCACACUGGCACUGCGACACGGGCCAGACUCCUACGGGAGGCAGCAGUGAGGAAUAUUGCGCAAUGGGCG